UACGUAGGGUGCGAGCGUUGUCCGGAAUUAUUGGGCGUAAAGGGCUCGUAGGCGGUUUGUCGCGUCGGGAGUGAAAACACCGGGCUUAACUCGGUGCUGGCUUUCGAUACGGGCAGACUAGAGGUAUGCAGGGGGAGAACGGAAUUCCUGGUGUAGCGGUGAAAUGCGCAGAUAUCAGGAGGAACACCGGUGGCGAAGGCGGUUCUCUGGGCAUGUCCUGACGCUGAGGAGCGAAAGUGUGGGGAGCGAACAGG
rnacentral:rRNA from 1 species